rnacentral:rRNA from 1 species
GGACCCGCACAAGCGGUGGAGCAUGUGGUUUAAUUCGAUGCAACGCGAAAAACCUUACCUACACUUGACAUACUUCGAAUUUUCUAGAGAUAGAUUAGUGCCUUCGGGAGCGAAGAUACAGGUGCUGCAUGGCUGUCGUCAGCUCGUGUCGUGAGAUGUUGGGUUAAGUCCUAUAACGAGCGCAACCCUUACCCUUAUUUGCCAGCGGUUAGGCCGGGAACUAUAAGGGAACUGCCGGUAAUAAGCCGGAGGAAGGUGGGGACGACGUCAAGUCAUCAUGGCCCUUAUGGGCUGGGCUACACACGUGCUACAAUGGCAGUGACAGAGGGACGCUACCAGGUGACUGGAUGCAAAUCUCAAAAAGCUGUCUCAGUUCGGAUUGUUGUCUGCAACUCGACAACAUG